CUGCAACUUUGGCAGCAUGUGUACAAUUGGAGUGAUACAGAGAAGAUUAGCAUGGCCCCUUGCAAGGGCGACAUGCAAGCUCGUGAAGCAUUUCCAUAUUUA